rnacentral:lncRNA from 1 species
GGACGAGAUUGGAUCUGAAGACAUGGGCCCUCAAACCUUGAAUGAAAUUGAAGAACUUGAACCAGUGGAAGUGGACUGGGAGAAAAUGACUUUUGAUACCAUUGGAUAAAACCCGAGACAUCAGAAAAUGUCAAUACAGCAGAUGUGGUCAACUUCAGAAGACUAAACAUCUAGAUUCUAUUUAUUUGGUUCAAAGUAUCAGACUACUAUAUAUAAUGAAAAUAAUUAAGGCUUACACUUCAGUAAAACCCCGCAUAAAAGAACCAGUGGGUUAAGAACUACCAGCCUGAAAUUUGGGCAAUAGCCCUUUCCCCUUUUAAGUGAAAUUUUGAUCUAGACUAGCCUGGACAAAAAUUUCAUCACAGCUUGAAAGAGCAUCACAAAAUUAGUAAUAUUCCAAAGUUUUGUUGCGAAAUGUUGUAAAAUGCGGAUAAUAUAGCCGUGCUAAGUUUGCCAUUUUUCAGUCAGUUUGCAUUACAAAUGGGAAAUUGAUAAUCAGUUAGAUCAUCUGAUUAUCAAUUUCCCGUUUGUAAUCUAAAAUGACUGAAAAACGGCAAACUUCGCAAGGCUAUAUUAUCCGCAUUUUACAACAUUUCGAAACGAAACUUCGGAAUAUUACUAAUUUUGUGAUGCUCUUUCAAGCUGUGAUGACAUUUUUGCCCAGACUUGUCUAGAUCAAAAUUUCACUUAAAAGGGGAAAGGUCUAUUAAGCACCCAAAAUACAAGAACCACUUCGGGCUGACAAAUGAAACUGGUUCUUAAAAAACCUUAUUAAACUUUUAGCUGAAUUAGUAAGCAGGUACUAGGAAGAAAACAAAAUACUGUAAUCUUGCUAGCAGGAAUUAUAUCUUUCAGCCACAUCAUGCAUGCAUUUAUUUUAUCAAAAUAAUUAAAUUACAGUUCAUUUACUAGUUUCAUUAUAUACAAUAAGAGGUUUAAAACUCUAAACCAGGAACAACUGUUUUUGACUGGAAAUAAGAACCAGUUAAGAACCACUUCAGCCUGAUUUCUUUUUAAGUACCUGUUAAAUAAGCACCACUUCAGCUUAAGUCAAAAUUCACUGGUUCUUUUAUGCGGGGUUUUACUGUAUACCAGAUAGCUUUCCGGUAUAGUGUCAACGUAGUUUAAAAUUUAUUUUCUCACUUUAAUAACUACAGGUUGACACCAUCUGCUGCACGAUAGUGCUUAGUAAAACCAAGCUAUGAGUUGAUAAUCAUGUCCCACUCUGUCGGUAAUAGAUGAUUCCCCUUAUUAUAUUUUCGUAGCACUUUGCAUUGUGGUUAUAGUGGUAUCACUGAUAUUCAAGAUGGCUUAUUUUUUGUCCUGACCCGUGCAAGAACUUUUAAAAAAGCCAGGGUCAGGUGCACGAUAGCCAACAGCAAAAUAUUCGCGAAAACAUUCAAUAUUUUCAUUCGAGGCUGCUAUCUUUAUCAGUGAUACCACUAUAACCACAAUGCAAAGCGCUAUGAAAACAUAAUAAGGGACCGGUCAUUAUUUAUGGCGGGGGGUGGCACCGAAGAGAAAAGGGUUGGGUAAACAAAAUUUUAAGUAAGUAAAAGGUUGGGUAAAUGAAAAAGAAAACAACUCAAGGGUUGGGUAAUAAAAAAUUAUUGUCAUUUCCAAAGCAUGACUCACUGAAAUAUUGGAGACUAAAAAGCAAUGUCAAUAUAAUAUGUGAAUCAAGUCAUUAUCUUCAUCAUUUUCCAAUUUGUCAGGACACAAAUUGUGUCUCCAAAAAAACUAUACAAGUGCAGACAAUAUGAAACUUUAGAUUGCAGAAAAUUUCACAAGCCGUUAUCAAACUCAUGUCACUGAAGUGGCAAUUAAAAGGACAUGUUUGACAACUGAAUUGUAUCCUUUUGUAAAGGUUUUGGCCAGGGGUGGGUAUUCAUUUUUUAAUUGAUAUUUGAGGUUGGGUAAUCAAAUUUUUGACUUUUUAAUGGUUGGGUCAGCAAAAUGUUUCCCACAAAAAACAUUUCUCUUCGGUGCCACCCCCACCAUAAAUAAUGACCGGUCCCUAAGGGGAAUCAUCUAUUCUGUCCGGUAAUUUUGUUUUUAAUGACAUUCACGAAAAUAAAAUAUUUUAUUAUUAUGUACAAAACAGUUACACGUGUAAAUUGAGUAAAUUAUGAGGAGCAACGCAACUAAUUUCAAAAACAUAAUUCAGAUAGUUUUCUUCAUUUAAUCAAUCGAAUCAAGAACGCAUUAUGUAUUUAAUGAACUACAUCACUUGCGUUUGUAAAUUAAGAUGUCAAUGAACUGUGUGUGUCUGUGUAAUUUAGCAAUUUUUCACUUGUCUUUUACGAUGCGAUGUUUUUUAAGUUAAGUAAAAUCUUUUUUCUACUCA